AACGCACCUUGCGCUCCUUGGUAUUCCGAGGAGCAUGCCUGUUUGAGUGUCAUGUUAAUAUCAACCCCGUCGGUUUGUAAAUCAGACCGUUGGGUGUUGGACUUGGAGGUUCUUGCUGGCUGCAAAGUCGGCUCCUCUUGAAUGCAUUAGCUUGGGCCUGUUGUGCGUGCUCGCGGUGUAAUAAGUUUUAUUCAUCGUUUGGGUCGUACACUUAUUGGGCUUGCUUCUAACUGUCUUCGGACAAAUAUAACCUUUGACUCUGACCUCAAAUCAGGUAGGACUACCCGCUGAACUUAA
rnacentral:misc_RNA from 2 species